rnacentral:tmRNA from 1 species
GGGGGUGUUUUGGUUUUGACAGCGCUGAUGCUGGACGGUAAGCAUGUCGGGCCUCGGAACCUGUCCCGUAAAACGCAGAUUCCAAAAAAUCAGUUGCUCGCUGCUUAAUUUGCCAAGCAAAUUAGCUUAAUCCGCGACGCCAAGGCUGCGCCGCCGACGAGUAUCCCUCGGACCUUCCGCCUCUUAAGGGCCGAUCAAGGGGUAUCAUCCAUUUGAGGCUGCUCCGGUGGACGCCUUUAAAGCCGGCUAAGCCUUAAAGGCUAAGGGAUGCUUCGCCCGCCUUCCGGCAGGGCCUCCUCGAAAACCAAAGGAAGGAUAAGCAUGUAGAAAGCCGCCUGGUGCGACGUUUGGACAGCGGUUCGAGUCCGCUCACCUCCACU